CCAGCUCUGGAAGAGGAAGAGGAGACAAUGGGCAGAGUGGGUGGGCUCUCUGAUUGACGUCUCUCACAGUCAAUCCAAAUAUUUCUGGAGCAACGUGAGUUUCCUGAAACUUGGGAAACUGACCGGGGGAGUGGAGGUGACUUUGAGCAGCAGAUCAGGAUCGGAACCGCUGGCCCCAGGAUGUCUGUGCCAUUGUCAAGCACAGCGGGAGCUGGACAGGCACCUCGAUGCGGCCAAUGGGAAGAUGGAUCCCGUCGCGCGCAGAUGAACGGACCAAUGAGGAAGGCGGACAAGGAAAAUCUAACCGGGGACUCCAGGCAGCGCGAAGUAUAACUGUGCCAAGUCCGAACGAGGGGGCAGAACGCCUUCUCCAACGAAUGCAUGCUUGACAAUUCGUUGUAUCGUUUCCCAGUUAAGAUUCUGUGAAUAAAUGGCAGUCUGCGCCAAACUAAA